UGUUUUAAAAAAAAAUCAAUAGAUCUAAUAUAGACAGUCAUGAGAUCAACUCUAUUUUAUCUAGAUCUAGACCAUACAUGAGAUCAAUAAUUGUCAAUAUGAAUAUUUAUAGAUAGAUCUAGUCUAGAAUAGUGACAAUAGUCAAUAGUCUAGAUCUAUCGAUCAUCUAGUCUGUCUUAUAGUAUAGCUAUACUUACUAUUAAUUAUACACUUUUACAGUAUAUGAGUAUACUCAUACGAGUCAUACUGGCUAUACUAUAGUAUAGACACUAUAGUUAGUAUAGUUAAUACUUUUUAAUAGUAGAUCUACAUCUAUAAUUUAUCAAUUCUAUCUAAAUCUAGACUUCACUUUCACAUCACAUUCACACGAUUAUAUAUAUUGAUACAGAACAGACAGUGAAUGAAACGAAUGCAGUGGUUAUACUGAUUAUACUUAAAGUGACGAUACUACUUAUAGAUCUACCAGUUGAUAAACAUCAUCAUCAUAGAUAAUAAUCUACAUCUAUAAUCAUAGUGCCCUUUAUUUAGUCAAUAGUCAAUAUAGUUGAAUAUAGUCAAGUCAAGAUAGUGGAACGUAAACUCGAAGGUUUAAUACAAUACGUUAUUAACAAGUAGAACCAUGGCAACCAGUUCUGAUGAUGUACCAGAAUGGCUCAAGGAUCAUACUUAUACUAUUUCAACUCUCUGGGCAUCCAUUCAAUAUUUAUUUUAUGUUUGGAAAUGCAAGAAAAAGGCAUGCAUUCCUGAAAAGUCAAUGAUUGGUUGCACCUCUUAAAGAUAACUUUCUGUUAUGAGAAAAGAUGAGAUUCUUGGACUCCUGCAUAGCACCACCAGAAAGGAAAAUCCCAUCAUGUUGCAAAAUAAAAGUCUUGGACCAAUUUUAAUUUAAGAUAUAUAUAUUAUACUGUAAGCUGUAUACAUAUUUAUGUAUAUCCUGUCAUUCAGCCAACAGGUUUGGAUUUAGUAUUUCUUUAAAUCUGUUUGAUAUUGUACUUGAAAACUAUUAAUCUGAGCCCCAUUAAAACAAGAGGGAGUGCAGUGGAUGAGUGGUAAGGGAAAUUUUACUUUUUUAAAAUUAAAAUAAGAAUCUAACAAAAGUAAACAUAUAAAAUAUGGUGCAUUCUCCUUAAAACUAAAACCUGGUGCAAAGGUUUAAAAUGUUGGCAAAAAAAAAGCAACAUCAAUUAAAUAUUCUUAAUUCCCUUUGCAAAACUUACUGAGAAGAACAUGCAUGUUGUUCCCUCAUAAGUUUCUUGACAGAGGAAAUCUUGUUUAUAUUAGAUUUGAAUUAAGCAAAUUAAGAAAAAAAUUAUAAUCAUUAUUUCAAAUGGUUGUAUCUAAACCUUAUGAAUUAUUUUUCAGUUAUAAGUAUAUUGAAAUGAAUGGAUAAUCAUGAAAUUGUUAAAUAAUUGCUGCUAUCAUUCCAUUGACUAAAGAACCAUAAUUUUUUUUUUAAAUUAAUUUCAAAAUGAUUUUUUUCAAGCAGAGUUCACAUAGAUCUUGAGUGAAAUUUUUCUUUUUUUGACUAAUGCUUCAAUUUUAUUGUAUCAUUAGUUUUUUAUUUUUAUUACCCAGAAUAUUUUUAAAAUGAGUACACUAUUUUCAUGUAAUAAUGUAACUUGGUAUUCACACAUCAAAAUACGCUAUAAUCUUUAGGCCAUAUAGAUUUGUAUAAAUAUAAAUUAACUUGAUUAAAUACAUUGUAAAUGUAUAUUGUUUGGAUAAGAAUAAAGUUUUUCUGUAGACAA